rnacentral:misc_RNA from 1 species
UGGCCUUCCAUGGCCUCUCACAUGCCAA